CAUAGUUGUUAAAAGUGUUUGUAACAUUUAUAUAUCAGAGCAGGACUUGAACCCAGGUCUUUCUGAUUCUGAAGUUUACCUUCUAACCACUACUACUCCAUACUGCUUCUCUUGCCCAAGUAGCAGGUUGCCAAGUUACAAUGUGAACCCAGGGCUUCUGACACUAAACCCAGUGCUCUUUACAUUGAUGCCUUGGUGAAUAUUCCUGUCUUUCUGUUUUUCCUUGUGGUUAGCUCUAAGUGUGACAGAGGGUGAGUCUAGCAUAAUGAGAAAGGUCUGCCCUCUGCCAGAUGGACUAGAUUGCGCUUUAGAGUAAAACAUUAGCUUGGCGGCUGAUAUAAAUGUCCUGAGUGUCUCUCUCUCUCUCUCUCUGUCUCUCUCCUUUUGGGGUCUUUUCUUUCAUCAGUCCUUGGCCUUUCUGAGAUGGUUUUGGUGGUAAUCUCCUGCCAACAUAAUUCUUUGUGAGUUACUUUCGUUUGUAAAACCUUUCACCGCAUGAAGAUGUUCUAUUUAAUUAGUAAAAGUUCAAUUUUUUUGUCACUGACAGAGCACCGUACAUCACCAUGUCUGGAGAGUCAUUAGCUGGAAAAUUAAUCAGGGUGGAGAACAGCUGAAUAAAACCCCAGCCCUCAGUGUAACUUUCCACAUCCCUGGCUCAGCUGUGGAUACUAUCCAGCGCCAACCCUCAAAGGACAUCUUGGACUAUUCCCACCAGUGAAAAGGCACAAAUUGUGACUCCAUCGAUAUAUGGAGCUGCUCAAUAAAAGGAAACAAAAUCCCUCUUCUGAAACAGAUGGACAAAUUUUCUCCAACAAAGAGAAUACGGAAAUUAAGUAUCUUGCUCAAGAUCACAUAUAUUGUCAGAAUAUAUAAAAAGAGGCAGAAGUUAAAUCUAGGCCAUCCUGACUCCAAAGUGAGCCAAUCUUUUCUCCAUUUCAAUAUAUUUCCUCUUCUAAAUACUGAGAACUGACUACAUGACCAUGUACCUAGAUGGACAAAGCAUCUGUAGAUGAAUCUGAUUAUUUAUAGUAUGGUCAAAGAUUGUCCACUCUGCUCCUGUUCCCUUCUUCUCUUUGUUAUUCCAACCACUCUCUGAUGUUUGCUUCUUUCUCUUCUUCUAGGCUAUCUUCUUCACAUUGUACUAUAGCUGGUGACUUGGUUUAAUCUCUUGAUCCUACUUUCUUACCUGAUCAAUGGAGACCUCACUCUUCUCUGGCUAAAUAUCACUCCCAGAUUCUGGGGGUUAUUUAUUCUGAGCAUCUGCUUGACUGCCAUGGACCAAGAGUUUUCAACUUCUCAGCUGAGAUAGACAAUAUGUAACUGAUACUCAACAUACCCUUUUUCAGACCUCUUUCUGAGCCCCUGUUAACUCUAUCUUUCCCAGGCCUCCUCUGGUUCCUAACACAAUGUUAGGAAACAACCCAUACCUGAGUCUUGGAUUGAUUAUUUUGAGUGGGGGGCUAUUUAUCUUUUAAGCAAAACAGAGUACACCAUGCAGCAGGAAUCAGAGAGCCUGAAAACUGGUAAUUUUAAUAAUAACACUACUUUGCUUUUAUAUAGUACAUUUCAUCUGAUGUAUUCAGAGAGCUUCCAGACAUUAAUUAAAUUCGACAACACCCUGUGUGUUAAGUUGAAUUGUAAGAAAUGUGAAAGUGGAUGUCAAGAAACUGAUGUUUUAUUCUGAGCUCUUCCAUUAACAGAAUGUUUUGCCUUGGGCCCACAACUCCAAUGCAGAGAGAGAAAAUCUGCUCACUGAUGAAAAGGAAUACUUCCAAAGACGCUGAUGCACGUGGAUUAACAAAGACUAAACAGAGAGACAGGUAGCAUUUGGUUUGGAAUUCAGGCAUUGACUCAAAACAGAUUCAGGAAUGAAUAUUCCAAAUUGGGGCAAAGAAAGUCAAUAUUGCCAACAAAUGGCAUAUAAUUGAAGCCAUGAAACCACAGCUUUGGAGUUUUAGAUAGCAUCAUUUGCGAGGGGUAAGGGAGCGUUGAUGAAUCAGGGUUAAGGAUACUGCAGCAAUGGACCAGAUCCCCCCCAGAGAAAUAUACAUCUUUCUUCCCUGAUGGCCGACCCUGACACCAUCAGGAUGGUGGGUGGAGAUGAAUAGUGACAGCUUUAUGAGCAGCGCCAAGCACCAGGAUGAUGAGACCAGGCUUCUGAGCCGCUCCGGAUGGGACUUUUAAAGGCCAUUAAAUCAGCUGUGCGAUAUGUUAUGUUUCACUCUGGCGGUGCUGGCUUUGGAGGGCCAAUUCGUAAAGGUGUAUGUGUGGGCACAGGGCUGUAGUGAUUACAGAUGAGGCAGGGAUAAGGACACUUGUUGGUCACAUCUGAAGGGGAGGUUCAGUGUUGUCAUCUGUAAAACUGGAGUCUUGGGAGGACCAUUUCGGAUCAAACAUUCUCUGUUCUAAGGUAACUUUCAGCUCAAGUAUUCUACAUUUCACUUUCUAGGGUCUCUUCUGAUCUAUUAGUCUGUAUUUUGUGUUUUAACAGUCUAUAUUCUAAGGACUACUCCAGCUCUAAUAUUCUAUAUUCUAAUGUUCUAAGAUUAGAAGAGGAUGGAGAAGUGAGUGUGUUGGGUUGGAGAUCUCUGUACCUCUUUGUAGGGUCAUAUUCAGUGACAAUGAUGAAGAUUUGUGGAAGCAGCUUCAUUAUUUUUGGCACAGGCAUUUCUAUUCUUGGGCCUAACUUGGAUACCCAAAAGCAGAAACAAAACAACUUUAACACCUCAGAUCGAAAAGCCUUGCAUAAAUUGUUUUGCCACCUGCCUGCACUCAACCCUGUUCUACUGUCUGUGGAUUCCAAUGCUAUCUACAGCCCUAAUUAAAACUGAACUAAAAGGGGAAAACACCCAUCCCACUUCCCCUUCCCCCAAAGGCCUGAAUGAAGUUCAGACUCAAGAAAGCCAGUGACUAAUGAUAGCAAUGAAAGCCCCAUACAGAGGAGGCAGGUUGGAAGAGAGGUGUGUCUUUAACACCUCAUCUCUGGAAAUGUAGUUUAAUCUCUGACCCAUUACUUCUUUGGGUCUUGGGCCAGUUAAUCAGAUGUUAUUGAGUUCUGAUCUGACUUCAUGUAAAGAAUUGCUCUAAGAAAUAUGUUAUUUCAAAAAGCUUAAGACAGGGACAGCAUUAUCUACAAGGAAAAACAACCUCCACAAAACCAUAUAGGGAGGCAAGGGUGAAGAGGCAGAAAAUACCAAAGUAAGGGAGUAUCAGCCAGGGUGAUAAACAAUGGGGAUUCUAUGUGCCCCGAGACUAAUGAAGAUUUGCAAGGAGCUCUGAAAGGCUGAUCAAUUGGGGCAGGCAGCAUUCUGUCUGUUGUGAUAUAACUGUUCUUAUGAAUCUAAGAAAUAGACAAGGUGACAUCAGGUAUCCUGGCUGGCCAGACUCAGAAUCAUUGUGAUCAUCAUCGUGACAUGGAGCACAGAACUCCUUUAUCUUCGAGUGCUUUAAGAAGACGGGAUACAUAGGAAGAAAUCAGAAUUGCCAAUACUCCAACUGAUGGAAAUGCUUCAAUGCAGAUGGUGCAGACCAUUAAAGUAAGCAAACUACCACUGCACAUGAAAUGGAGGAUAUGGAUGUUUUUAUUAUGUACCAAAGCUGCUUCAUAACAAAAUUGAAAGCAGAUCUCACAAUUAUGAGCAAAGACUUUCUCCAGCUUUUCUACAACAAUAUUCUCAGCUUCAAGCUACAUAACAGCAUAUUAUAGAUCAAUGUAGGGCAAUCCUAGGAAAUAACUUCAUUCCUAAGCAGAGAUUAGAUGAAGUAAGAGUAGAAAUUGAUGAGUUACUUAAACUUGAAGAAAAAGCUGAAGAACCCAGAGGCAUUAAAAAUUUAUAGUGAACAAAAAUUCAGUAUCUACCUAACAGUGAAAUGUUUAUACAAAAUAAAGUUGAUGUCUCAACUGAUUUUGAAAUGAAAGAUGGACAUUUGUAAAGUGAAACUUUGAAAACUCCUUUUUGAGUUGAAGAGCACAAACCAAACUCCCAUGAAACCAUGAAGCCAAAACCACAUGGACCUAAAAAUAUUUUUCAAUAACUGUUUCAGUUUAAUUUGUUUUUUUUAAUUUAAUCUGAUGCAUCUUGUUUAAUUCAUGUUAGUGCCUUAUUCUGAGAAAAGGUUGAUAAUAUUCCCAAAAUUGCCAAAGGGAUUUAUGAUGCAAAAAAUAUUCUAACACUUAUAAUAGACCAAAUAAUUAAAAUACUGACUUUUUAAAAUGUCAUCUGUUAUAAUUAUCAGGAAUUCAUACAUUCCUCUAAAAUAUUAUACAGAAAGCAUAAGUAUUUGGGUCCUAAAAGGUAUUAUAUGGUGAGGACAAUAGGAAGAAAAUGGAGCUUCACAGGCUUUCCCUUAAGGAAAAUUGUCCAACCAUCUUGGCAGGAGUGACUUGAGAAGACUAUUAAAGACCUGCAGAGGGACUUCCGGUUAAGAUGGCGGCUUAGAGAAAGCUGAAGUUCAGAUCUCCGGAAAACCCUUCCCGACCGAUCUCAAACUAGAAGCUCCUAAGGCGCCGAAAUUCAAAACGAUCAACAGCACAGACCCUGGGAACCCUCCUCCUGGACCUGGACCCGGUUCAAAAGGUACGGCUCCCCUUAAAAGCCAGAACCCGAGAUCCCUCGGACCUCAGGGGUAGGAGCGCAGAGUCCAAGGCUCCCGGAAGCGGCAGCCGCGCCGGGCUCAGAGAGCAGGGUCUGAGGAACAACAACCCUCAGGGUCUUCUACCCAAGUCCCAGUCCGGGUGAAAGU